GAUGAACGCUGGCGGCGUGCCUAAUACAUGCAAGUCGAGCGAACAGACGAGGAGCUUGCUCCUCUGACGUUAGCGGCGGACGGGUGAGUAACACGUGGAUAACCUACCUAUAAGACUGGGAUAACUUCGGGAAACCGGAGCUAAUACCGGAUAAUAUAUUGAACCGCAUGGUUCAAUAGUGAAAGACGGUUUUGCUGUCACUUAUAGAUGGAUCCGCGCCGCAUUAGCUAGUUGGUAAGGUAACGGCUUACCAAGGCAACGAUGCGUAGCCGACCUGAGAGGGUGAUCGGCCACACUGGAGCUGAGACACGGUCCAGACUCCUACGGGAGGCAGCAGUAGGGAAUCGUCCGCAAUGGGCGAAAGCCUGACGGAGCAACGCCGCGUGAGUGAUGAAGGUCUUCGGAUCGUAAAACUCUGUUAUUAGGGAAGAACAAAUGUGUAAGUAACUAUGCACGUCUUGACGGUACCUGAUCAGAAAGCCACGGCUAACUACGCG
rnacentral:rRNA from 1 species